GGGGCAGCAAGUGUUUUUCACCGCUGAGCCGUUUCUUUAGUCCAUCCACUUUAUUUUUGAGCAGGGUUCCUCACUGAACCUGGAGCUCCUUGGCUGCCUAGACUGGUGUUCAGCAAGAACUGUCUCCCUGUCUUGGCCUCCCUGGCGCUGGGAUCCAGGCUCAGGUCUAACGCUAUGCUUUCCUCUGGCGCUGGGGUCCAGGCUCAGGUCUAACGCUAUGCUUUCCUCUGGCGCUGGGGUCCAGGCUCAGGUCUAACGCUAUGCUUUCCUCUGGUGCUGGGGUCCAGGCUCAGGCCUAACGCUAUGCUUUCCUCUGGCGCUGGGGUCCAGGCUCAGGCCUAACGCUAUGCUUCCCUGCCAGCUCUUUACUGACUGAGCCAUCUCCCUGGCCCCUCCUGUGACUCCUGAACUAAGACAUGGCUGUGUUUCCUCAGCUACAGGAGCUGUGCCUUCCUCAGUUACGCAGUGUGAGUCUGGUCGUCACUGUCCACAGUAGCGCGUCCUCCUGUCUGUCAAGGGGCUGGGGUGGGACUGACUGAAUGGUUCCAGUCAGGUCAGGGCGCUCCCUUCAUCAAUGCUGCCUUUGCUUCUCCUCUCACAGACACCUGGCAUUAGGAGGUCGUCGGGGUCAUGUGGCUGCCCUCGAUUGGGUGACAAAGAAGCUCAUGUGUGAGAUCAACGUCAUGGAAGCCGUGCAGGACAUCCAGUCAGUGUUUCCUUGCUGGCAGUCGGUGGGAUGGGUCAGCCCGGUCCCAACUGGAUGACCCCUGGGGUCCUGUCUCC
rnacentral:lncRNA from 1 species